rnacentral:rRNA from 1 species
AUUGAACGCUGGCGGCAGGCCUAACACAUGCAAGUCGAGCGGAUGAAGGGAGCUUGCUCCUGGAUUCAGCGGCGGACGGGUGAGUAAUGCCUAGGAAUCUGCCUGGUAGUGGGGGAUAACGUCCGGAAACGGGCGCUAAUACCGCAUACGUCCUGAGGGAGAAAGUGGGGGAUCUUCGGACCUCACGCUAUCAGAUGAGCCUAGGUCGGAUUAGCUAGUUGGUGGGGUAAAGGCCUACCAAGGCGACGAUCCGUAACUGGUCUGAGAGGAUGAUCAGUCACACUUGAACUGAGACACGGUCCAGACUCCUACGGGAGGCAGCAGUGGGGAAUAUUGGACAAUGGGCGAAAGCCUGAUACAGCCAUGCCGCGUGUGUGAAGAAGGUCUUCGGAUUGUAAAGCACUUUAAGUUGGGAGGAAGGGCAGUAAGUUAAUACCUUGCUGUUUUGACGUUACCAACAGAAUAAGCACCGGCUAACUUCGUG